rnacentral:lncRNA from 10 species
CAAAGCCAAAUAUUCACUAAUAAUCACUCAUCAAGGAGAACAGAUGGCACACGUUGAACACUCCUGAAAAUGAAAGCCCUUGGCUGCAGGGGUGAAUGUCCAGGACCCACAGAAAAUAUCAAGUCAGAUACCUCUUGAAGCACUGAUGGGAAGGUGCAGCUGGACUCCCUGGAACUCUGAAGCUGAGAGCACUACGGAAGGGAGCCCCAUUCCCAAGCAUGGUGUCCAAUACACUGAAAGAAUAACUGGGCUCAGUAAUGCACCUAGAGACUCAGAUUCCAGACCUGCCCACUUGCUUUACUAUCCAAAACAACCAUGACACAUGACUUCUCUGGCGGGGUGUUGGCCAAGACAAACUGAACUAUAGAAGAUCCUUGACUUGCCAACGUUCAAAUGAUGAACUUUCAAAAAUAGCGAAACUGGCUGCAGAGCAAAAGCUUUUCAGCUCUGCACAACACCAACAGAUGGCGCUAAGUGUCACCCUUGUGGAGAGCAGAGGGACCUCGGAAGGGCCUUUGGAAAUCUAAUCUGGUUUUGAGUUCUUGGUGGGAAAAUGCACCUUUAAGUUGGGGGAGUUUGAAGACGUUGCCAAGACACGUGCUGCAGCAUUUGAUCUUUUCUGCCGCACUGGCUUCUGCAAUUAACAUGCUUUCACCAGUGAAACUCAGGUUGCGGGGAGAGCAUUCUUCCAGGUUCAUGCCUGUUGUCAUGGAGUAAUUAUAAUUCAUGUCUCCGUUCACAGUGUCCUGGUUUGUAGAAUAAAAUAUCUGGUCCACCCACCCAGUGGGAUCUUUGAGAAUCCAUUCAUUUUAGAGUCAGCAUCUGUGGCUGGUUCCAAGACUGUAAUUUGCUUCCUUGGCAAAUGCCACACUACAUCAAAAGGGGGCAAAAGAGUAUGAUUGCUCUAUUUUUACUUAGAAUCCAAGUGGUAAUUUAUGGAAUACAGGGGUUCUCAACCUCAGCACUAUUGACGUUGGAGCUGGAUAAUUCUUUGGUGGUUGUGGGGGAGGGGCGAGGGCGGGAGUCCUGUGCUUUGCAAGAUGUUUAGCAGCACCUCUGGCCUCCACUUGCUAGAUGCCAGCAACACCUCCCCACUCUCUCCCAAUUUGUGACAACCAAAUACGUUUCCAGACAUUGU